rnacentral:rRNA from 1 species
UAAUUUGAUAAUCCGCAAAAAACCUUACCACAGCUUGAAUAUUUAUAUUUUUAUAUAUUUACAAGCGUUGCACGGCUGUCUUCAGUUAAUGUCGUGAGAUUUUGGUUAGAUCCAUUAAAUUAACGUAAGCCCUUACUUUAUUUACAAAUAAAGUUGUUCCCCACUAUAUUGGAUAUGAUAACAGGGAUUAAGAUAAGUCAUCAUGGCCUUAAUGCUGU